rnacentral:rRNA from 1 species
GACGAACGCUGGCGGCGUGCUUAACACAUGCAAGUCGAACGGAAAGGCCCUGCUUUUGUGGGGUGCUCGAGUGGCGAACGGGUGAGUAACACGUGAGUAACCUGCCCUUGACUUUGGGAUAACUUCAGGAAACUGGGGCUAAUACCGGAUAGGAGCUCCUGCUGCAUGGUGGGGGUUGGAAAGUUUCGGCGGUUGGGGAUGGACUCGCGGCUUCUCAGCUUGUUGGUGGGGUAGUGGCUUACCAAGGCUUUGACGGGUAGCCGGCCUGAGAGGGUGACCGGCCACAAUGGGACUGCGAUACGGCCCAGACUCCUACGGGAGGCAGCAGUGGGGAAUAUUGCACAAUGGGCGGAAGCCUGAUGCAGCAACGCCGCGUGCGGGAUAACGGCCUUCGAGUUGUACACCGCUUUCGCCUGUGACGGAGCGUGAGUGACGGUAAUGGGUAAAGAAGCACCGGCUAACUACGUG